GUGUUCCCUUAUUCUUAACAGUUGUUCUUUGGAGUAUUAGGUGAAGUGAUAAAAGUAUAUUCUUUUACUACAUUUUACUUCUCAGUUUAGUUAUAACAUUGUGUUCAGGUCCCAAGUUUCAAUCAGUGUUUUUUCCCGGAUGGGGGUGGGUCGACCUUCAAAGUGUUACAUCAUUAAAAAAAAAAACUAAAAUAAGGGACCAAAGAAAGCACUUUGAUGAGAAGUGCAACAGUUGUGCUCCUGAAGAAAUUAGUUGAAUUUCCUAGUAAGAGUUUCACUCAGUUGUAAGACUCAUUUGUUGAUUUUAAAAAGGCCAAAUUCCAUUAUCAUAGCAUAUUAGCUACUCCAGAAACAGAAUUUCCUCUUCCUGUUGAUGCAGUCUAGUAUCAUGUGAAUGCCUACCUAAAAGAUUCCAUUAAAUAUUUAACCUAUUUUCUUUUUAAAGCAUCUAUGGAGUGUAUGUGCCAAGCACAGAGCUGUGCCUAGGAGUCAGCAGUGAACAAGUCAUUCAUGCCUCCCCACCUACAUGAGUUCACAGCCUGGCCAAGAGUGAAGCCCUAAGCCUUGGUGGGUUUUGACAGCUCAUGAGGAGACACAUCACCUUGCUGCCUGGUUAUACUUUUCUGCACCUUCCCAGCACACGUCUGGAUGCCUCAGAAGCGGACCAGGGAAUGAUCAGAUCAGCAGAGGGUGUGGCCUUGUCUUGCUUCCGGACAGCCCCCUGGGGAGUCACAGAUUGGUCCUCAGGAGGAUCACACCCCCGAGAGCAUUUGCAUGAUGAGGCUGCCUUCUGGACGCACGAACACAUGUCCCUGAGCUGGGGUGCAUCAGGCGAUGAGGUCUGGUCCCUGAGGAACACCGUCCCCAAGACAGACAGGUUUUCCUUGGAGGAAAUCCUCCCAUUUUCCCUGUGGGAGACACCUUGUUUCUGCUGGCCAGGCCUUCUGCCCCUUGCAGCCCCUUUCAUUGUGUCCAUGUCUCCCAUCAGCAGCACACGUCUGGAUGCCUCAGAAGUGGACCAGGGAAUGACCAGGUAGACUGUCCUGACACGAUGCCACCAGAGACUCCACAGCUGGAAGAUCCUAUUUAAGCUCCAAAUUACCGUGUUUUUUUUUUUUUUUUUUUAAGGCGUGACCUCUGCUCUCCACAUCAUACUGACUUUAUUUUUUCUUCUUUUUCUCACUCUUGUUUCUUCUUUUGUCUGGAUAUGGACCUAUUUUUCAACUGGGAUCAGAAGGUACAAAAAGAUAUAAUAGUUGAGUGCCAAAAAUAACCUAGACACAGCUUUGAGAGCAAUGCUCCAUGAAUAAUUUGAAGCAAGUGAUGGAUAUACUCAUACUGCUCAUGGGGUCCUCAAGGCAAGAAUACUGAAGUGGUUUGCCAUUCCCUUCUGCAGUGGACCACAUUCUGUCAGAACUCUCCAGCAUGACACGACCAUCUUGGGUGGCCCUACACAACAAACUGUGGAAAAUUCUUCAAGAGAUGUGAAUACUAGACCACAUUACCUGCCUCCUGAGAAAUCAGUAUGCAGGUCAAAAAGCAACAGUUAGAACCAAACAUGGAACAAUGGACUGGUUCCAAAUUGGAAAGAAAUACCUCAAGGAUGUAUUUGGGUUGUCAAAUACAUCAAGGGUUGUCACCCUUCUUAUUUAACUUCUAUGCAGAGUACAUCAUGCAAAAUUCCGGGCUGGAUGAAGCACAAGCUCGAACUUAGAUUUCCUGGAGAAAUAUCAAUAAUCUCAGAUACGCAUGUGACACCACCCUUAUGGCAGAAUGUGAAGUGGAACUGAAGAGCCUCUUGAUGAAAGUGAAAGAGGAGAAUGAAAAAGCUGGCUUAAAGAAGACCCUUGCAAGUCCCUUGACUGCAAUGAAAUCCAACCAGUCAGUCCGAAAGGAAAUCAGCCCUGACUAUUCAUUUGAAGGACUGGUGCUGAAGCUGAAACUCCAAUACUUUGGCCUCCAGAUGGGAAGAUCUGACUCAUUGGAAAAGACCCUUAUGCUGGGAAAGAUUGAAGGCAGGAGGAGAAGGGGGACGACAGAGGAUGAGAUGGUUGGAUGGUCUCACCGACUCGUUGGACAUGAGUUUGAGUAAGCUCCAGGAGUUGGUGAUGAACAGGGAAACCUGGUGUGCUCAGUCCAAGGGGUUGCAAAGAGUCGGACACAACUUAGCGCCUGGACUGAAUGGACAUAUUCACUGUCUCUAGUUGCAAACAGUGUACUUGUAGGUGGAAUAAUUUCUGUGAAUGAGCAGGAGGGAGCAUAUGGAGGGGACCGCCCUGUCUUUUGCACAUAGCUACUCCUCUAUAAAAACAGCCUCCACCAGGUCUAUGGGACCUCUAGUUCAGGUUGUUUCUUUCUGCUGUUUGCUGAGAAAACCAGCACAAGCCAACCAGAAUCUAUUCUUAUUAGACUCAAGGUACCCAGUCCUCAGAGUAAAGAGCUGAGGCACGUUCAUGAGAAUGUUCACUUUGCUCUACACCUGAAACUAACAACAUUAUUCAUCAACUAUACUCCAAUGUAAACCAAAAAGUUAAAAAAAGAAAAGAAUGUUCUGUGGGUUCUGGGCUGACAGAGUCCUUACCUCUUCUCAGGCUUCAUUAACUGAUGUAGCUCACUAUUUUCACACUAGUUAUCUUUGGGCACAUAUUGAUAUAGAGUGUCACAUAUUCCUGGAAAGUAUUCCAAGUGCUCAAGUGCAUGGAAGGCCCUGAUCUCCCAUCAUCCUGGAGUCACUAUUGGGAUUGUUUAGGUCUCAUCUCUGAAAACAAAUCCUUCAAGUGUAAUCGUGCUGAUUGGCCUGGUACAUGUAGACUUCCUGAAGUUUUCAAAUCCAGUGUAUUCCCCAAACGGGUUCACAUGGAGGAGCCUGCAUUCUUUAUAAUUUUGUUCAAAAUAUACAUGUUUCCUGUACCCCAAAGCCUUGCCUUCAGUGGGCAGGGAAUUUAGACCUCUAGAGACCUUAGAUAAAACCAGUAUGAUUAAGAUCUGAUCUGCACUCAGGAAAGGUGCUAUCCUGUGACUUGAAUGUUGUGGUUUAUAGUAAGAAAGAUGAAUUUGGUAUUUCUCCUGGUUGCUGGCAUAGCUACUAAAGCCACUGGAAUUUCUUAGGUGUGAAAGUGAUAAAUGGGCCUUGUUAUGUUAAUGAGGUGACCUUUAUAAGCAUCCCAGUGACCAAAGAAUAGGGGCUACCUGAUCAUUUCAGAACCCCAGGUUAGAGGGAGGAGAGAGGAGCUGGAGGUUGAACCCAUCACCAGUGUCUAAUGAGUUAAUCAGGACUCUGUAAUGGAGCCUCUGUAAAAACCCAAAAGGACUGAUUUGGAAAGCUUCCAGGUUGGUGAACAGGUGGGGAUUUGGGGAGGACAGGGAAGCUCAUGCCCUUUCCCCUUACCUUGCUUGAGGCACAUCUUCCAUCUGGCUGUCCCUGAGUUCAGCCUUUUAUUAUAUAAUGAUAAUCUAAUCAGUAAAACAUUUCUGAGUUCUGUAAGCAAGUUGAUUGACCCCAAGAAGGGUCCUUGGAACCUCUGCACUCUAGUGGGUCCUCCAGGAGCACAGCUGAGAACCUGGCCUCCGACUGCUUCUGAAGUGGGGGAGGGGCAGGCAGCCUUCUAAGACUGAGCCCUGAACUUGUGGGAUCUGAAAUUUUCUGUCAGUGUACAUUUGUAAGACAACAAAUGUCAGAAAUUGCUUGGUGGUGUGGGGAAAACACACAGACACAUUGGAACUUGUCUAUUAAUAGAAUCUUAUCAUGCUUACCAGGCUACCGUCACUGCUGUCUAUGCAUGGGGCACCUACAUUUGUAGGAGCCCUCUGACUUCAGAGCAGUCAAGCUGGGGAGAGCCUGUAGGCUUCAGGGAAAGCAGAACAGUAGCAAGUACAGCUAGUGUGAGGCUGACUUCUCCCUAUUUACCACACAUUUGUAUUUCUCAAAGGAAGAUCAUUGGAUUAUUUUCCCAUCAUCACUGUAAUGUCCUGUCUUCUGAGGUUUGAUUUAGUGAUAGUUCAUGCCCACAACAUUGGGCCAUUGUGUCUUUGUAUAGGAGCUCUGUUGCUUUCACUCAACCAUAUGCCAUGAUCACCAGAAACCUUUCCUGAAGAAAAAGCUUUGAUCACUUUCUCUAGGACGGUUAUGUCGGGGAUGUUUGUUUGUUUGUUGGCAGUCUCUACUCAGAGCAUUUCUAGGUAGAAAAAAGACCAUGUCAUCUGUACUAAUGUGAAGAGAGGAACGGACUAUCCUGGUGUCUGCUUCCUGUCUGGGAGGCUCCCUUAUGAGCAGAUACCAUAGGACCAUGUGAGAUGAGUAACCUCAAGGGGAAUGUGCCUUUGCCUUUAUGUUUAAGCUUUUUUUUUUUUUUGGCCAUGCUGUUUGGCAAAUGGGGUCUUAUUUUCUGGAUCAUGCCUGGAGACGUGGUCCCAUGCAGUGUAAGCCUGGAGUCCUAAUCACUGGACCUCCAGGAAAGUCCCGCCUUCGCCUUUUAAAUUCUACCAGGUAGGUGAGUGGUUCAUGAUGUGUGGUCCCAGGACCUGGAGCAGCACCAUCGCUCAUGAGCUUGUUUAAAUGCAAAUAUCAGGCUUCAGUCCAGAGUGCCGUGUGCACGGCCAUGCUAUCUACGUUAGACAAGCUCCACGAGUGAUUCUUUUUUCUCACUCAACAACAGUUUGUUUGUUUUCGUAAUAAUAUAUCAUAUUUGGCAUCAUAUUUGAUGAUAUCAUUGCCUUUAUUUUCUCCAAAACUCCUUUCCUCAGAAAUUUUGGGGUAUAAUGAAAUGAGAAAUAUACUUCCAGAGGAGCAUCCUGCUCAUUGUAAAAUUAAAAAAUUGAACUCAAGCCCCCUCAAUGAUUCUGUUGCAAGUCCUAGGGUGAGAAGCACUGAAGUAGGAUAUUCAGACAGAGAUGGGGGAGCGUCCUCACUCAAUUACAGUCUGUGAUCAGCAUCCUAAGAGAGCAUUCUGAAUGAGGUCAUUUAACUGUUUUUUUCUCCUUUAAUUUCAACAUUAGAUAAUUUUUUUAAGUUUAUGCCAAUCCUGGGCUUGGAGGGAGCCAGUUUUCUUAUAUUUACACAUUUUAUUCUAACCAUAUCUUAUUUCAGGUGUGACUCAGAAAUUAAACCUGUUAGGUAGUUAGAAUAGGGAAAAGGAGUCCAAAAUGGUGGUGGCUAAAAGACAAGGAAGGGAAAAGCCCUCAAACAAAGAACAGAGGAAGGUCAAAGGAAGGUCCGAGGACCGGAGUGAGGACUUCAGGUAGAACAGGACUCCUGACUAAGUCCAACUGGCAUAGGGCAGGCCCGGGGGAAGACAGAAACAUAUAAAAGAGGAGCCAAAGGGCUCUCUCUCUCUCCGGCUUCCCCACCCCCGUGCGCUGGGGUGCUCUUCUCUUCGCAUCUUUGCAUCCACGUGGCCUCAUGCCUCGAAGAUGGAUUUUCCUGCUAUCUUCUAAAUAAAAUAGAGCUGUAACACUGAGAGCUACA
ensembl:lncRNA